GACGAACGCUGGCGGCGUGCUUGACACAUGCAAGUCGAACGGAAAGGCCCUGCUUUUGUGGGGUGCUCGAGUGGCGAACGGGUGAGUAACACGUGAGUAACCUGCCCUUGACUUUGGGAUAACUUCAGGAAACUGGGGCUAAUACCGGAUAGGAGCUCCUGCUGCAUGGUGGGGGUUGGAAAGUUUCGGCGGUUGGGGAUGGACUCGCGGCUUAUCAGCUUGUUGGUGGGGUAGUGGCUUACCAAGGCUUUGACGGGUAGCCGGCCUGAGAGGGUGACCGGCCACAUUGGGACUGAGAUACGGCCCAGACUCCUACGGGAGGCAGCAGUGGGGAAUAUUGCACAAUGGGCGGAAGCCUGAUGCAGCAACGCCGCGUGCGGGAUGACGGCCUUCGGGUUGUAAACCGCUUUCGCCUGUGACGAAGCGUGAGUGACGGUAAUGGGUAAAGAAGCACCGGCUAACUACGUGCCAGCAGCCGCGGUGAUACGUAGGGUGCGAGCGUUGUCCGGAUUUAUUGGGCGUAAAGGGCUCGUAGGUGGUUGAUCGCGUCGGAAGUGUAAUCUUGGGGCUUAACCCUGAGCGUGCUUUCGAUACGGGUUGACUUGAGGAAGGUAGGGGAGAAUGGAAUUCCUGGUGGAGCGGUGGAAUGCGCAGAUAUCAGGAGGAACACCAGUGGCGAAGGCGGUUCUCUGGGCCUUUCCUGACGCUGAGGAGCGAAAGCGUGGGGAGCGAACAGGCUUAGAUACCCUGGUAGUCCACGCUGUAAACGGUGGGUACUAGGUGUGGGGUCCAUUCCACGGGUUCCGUGCCGUAGCUAACGCUUUAAGUACCCCGCCUGGGGAGUACGGCCGCAAGGCUAAAACUCAAAGGAAUUGACGGGGCCCCGCACAAGCGGCGGAGCAUGCGGAUUAAUUCGAUGCAACGCGUAGAACCUUACCUGGGUUUGACAUGGAUCGGGAGUGCUCAGAGAUGGGUGUGCCUCUUUUGGGGUCGGUUCACAGGUGGUGCAUGGCUGUCGUCAGCUCGUGUCGUGAGAUGUUGGGUUAAGUCCCGCAACGAGCGCAACCCUUGUUCACUGUUGCCAGCACGUUAUGGUGGGGACUCAGUGGAGACCGCCGGGGUCAACUCGGAGGAAGGUGGGAAUGACGUCAAGUCAUCAUGCCCCUCAUGUCCAGGGCUUCACGCAUGCUACAAUGGCUGGUACAGAGAGUGGCGAGCCUGUGAGGGUGAGCGAAUCUCGGAAAGCCGGUCUCAGUUCGGAUUGGGGUCUGCAACUCGACCUCAUGAAGUCGGAGUCGCUAGUAAUCGCAGAUCAGCAACGCUGCGGUGAAUACGUUCCCGGGGCU
rnacentral:rRNA from 1 species